GCAAGUCGAGGGGCAGCAUUUCCAGCUUGCUGGAAGAUGGCGACCGGCGCACGGGUGAGUAACGCGUAUGCAACCUACCUUACAUUGGGGGAUAGCCCAGAGAAAUCUGGAUUAAUACCGCAUAAUAUAUUUGAAUCGCAUGGUUUAAAUAUUAAAACUCCGGUGAUGUAAGAUGGGCAUGCGUAGCAUUGGUUAGUUGGUAAGGUAACGGCUUACCAAGACGAUGAUGGAUAGCCGGCCUGAGAGGGUGAAC
rnacentral:rRNA from 1 species